GAUACCCCUGUAGUCCUGGCCGUAAACGAUGAACACUAGGUGUCGGGGGAAUCGACCCCCUCGGUGUCGUAGCCAACGCGUUAAGUGUUCCGCCUGGGGAGUACGCACGCAAGUGUGAAACUCAAAGGAAUUGACGGGGGCCCGCACAAGCGGUGGAGUAUGUGGUUUAAUUCGAUGCAACGCGAAGAACCUUACCAGGGUUUGGCAUCCUGCGAACCCCUUGGAAACGAGGGGGUGCCUUCGGGAGCGCAGAGACAGGUGGUGCAUGGCUGUCGUCAGCUCGUGUCGUGAGAUGUUGGGUUAAGUCCCGCAACGAGCGCAACCCACGUCUUUAGUUGCCAGCAUUCAGUUGGGCACUCUAGAGAGACCGCCGGUGAUAAACCGGAGGAAGGUGUGGAUGACGUCAAGUCAUCAUGCCCCUUACAUCCUGGGCUACACACGUACUACAAUGCUACGGACAGAGGGCAGCAAACUCGCGAGAGCUAGCAAAUCCCAUAAACCGUGGCUCAGUUCAGAUCGUAGGCUGCAACUCGCCUACGUGAAGGAGGAAUCGCUAGUAAUCGCAGGUCAGCAUACUGCGGUGAAUACGUUCCCGGGCCUUGUACACACCGCCCGUCACACCAUGGAAGUUGGCCACGCCCGAAGCCGUUACUCCAACCCUUGUGGAGGAGGACGUCGAAGGUGGGGCUGAUGACUGGGGUGAAGUCGUAACAAGGUAGCCGUACCGGAAGGUGC
rnacentral:rRNA from 1 species